rnacentral:lncRNA from 1 species
AUGGUUUUCCUGAGGUUCAGGUUACUAUCGAAGAGAUUGAAAUUUAACAGUCCUGUAAGGUGUUCCCGGCCAAAUGCUUCAUUUUGGGAAGUUUCCUGGAGCUUCCUCAUCUGCUGCAGACAAGCAUUUAGAGACUCUUCUGUGAAAAGGAGAUUGCUGUUGAGGUAUGGAUAUCCCUCCACCAUAGAAGACUUCUUUUAUGGAACAAAUGGCUUGGGAUUGGGAGAGUUCCCCAUACCAUUCCUCCUGCUUCUAGGGAAGCCUUCAGAGCCAUCAUCCCAGAAAGCAACUUCUGUGGAUGAUAGGCCCACCAUUUCCUCUAAUCAACUGCCACUUACAAAACAGGGAAGUCAACCUAGCUAA